UUUUUAAGUGGCCGAUUUUUCAUGACAAGCCUUUUCUAUCACUGUCUGCGUGACUUUGAGAGCUUCUCGUCAUGGAGAGAAUGAAAUGGGCACGGGCUGUCUGGAUGGAGAAUUCCCGUGAAGAAGAGGGUGUUGUUCCACUAAACUGGAUCAAAGACAAAAAUGUGUUUUGGCCAGCAGUCACCAAUGCUAGUGUUUUACACAAGAAGUGCGCCGAGCCCGAUGUAGAAAAAUGGACAAAAUUUAAGCUUAUAAAGAUAAAACAUUCAUCUGCCAAUAUGGAAGAGUGUGAAGACAAUAAUCUAACCACAGCUAUUGAGAAUCGCGAUAAAGAGGUUCCUAAGAAGCGCCAGGCUAAGCGAAAACACAAAAAUGAUU